rnacentral:lncRNA from 1 species
AAAAUCUUCCAAACAGACCCUUAUUCUCUCUUUUUUUUCUUCUUCUUUUAUGAUUGUGACAAGUAUCAAAGGGAUCCUUCCCUUAAUAAUUUUCAUCAGAAUAAAAUUUAAAUAAUUAAUGUAUUUAAAGCUAAUUUUAAAGUAAAUACUUCAAUUUUUUUAAAAUAUUAUUGAAGUAGUUAUUAGAGGAAAAGAGCCAAGAUAG